rnacentral:lncRNA from 1 species
GUCGGGGAAGCAGUCGAAGGCGGCCGCGGUGGGGUCCGAGGCGCCAGCUCCGAGGGUGGGCUUGGUGCCAAAGGAGAGGGGGCCCGCCGUCUUCUUGGGGUCAGGGGUGGCAAAGGCCACGGGGGCGUUUUCGAACAGCCCCGGGCUGAAGUCCUUGGCGCUGCCAGCCUUGUCCAGCUGCAAGGGCUCGGGCAGGGCCUCCGGCUCCCCUGGCCGCGGCCACGUGCCCUUGGCCACGGGGUCCAGACAGGCGCUGUGGUUCUCCAGCGAGAAGGCCGUCUUGCCGGCGUCCGUGGCCAGGCCGGGCGCCUCGGCCCAGGCCUUCUCGGCUUUCUCGCCGAUGGCCUCCUGCAGCCCCAGGAUCUCGGAGGCCAGGUCUUCCUGCGCCAGGGCGCUGAGCAGCAGCCGCGGGCAGUCCCGCUCGCCGGCCACCAGCUUGGAGAAGCUGUCGAGCGGCAGGCUGCUGUGCAGGCUCUGGAAGGAGUCGUCGGACUUGGUGGACAUGUCGUCGGGGGAGGUCACGGAGCAGGUGGACACGGACUCGGGCGUGGCCUUGGAGCCGCCGCGGACCCGGGCGGGGCUGCCGCGGGCCUGGCUGCAGUAGAGGAAGCCCCGCUCCAGCGGCUCCGGGGCCCGGGACACCAGGCCCUUGACGCCCUUCUUCGGGGGCCCGGCCGCCUUGGACAGCAGCAGCUGCUGGACCGUGUUGGAGAUGUUCUCCACCUGCGAGGUCAGCGCCGUGAGGCUCUGCAGGCUGAGGUCCGACAGCAGGGCGUCGGGCAGCUUGUCCUUCUGCAGGGCCUUGCAGGUGGCCGCCUGGGCGUCCACGGAGCCGGCGGCGUCCGUGGGGGAGGGGUUGAGCAGGGGCAUGAAGUGGCUGUGGUCGGGGAGGCCGGCGGGGAAGGCGCCGCUGCCCAGCGGCUGCUGGCCGUAGGGGAAGGUCUCCAGGUUGGGCAUCAGCGGCGACGGGGUGGAGCUGUACGAAGGGGAGCGGCCCACGGAGCGCGCGGGCGAGUGGCCGGAGCCGGGGCUGAAGGUCUGGUAGUACUGCUCCGGGGUCCUGACGGCCGUGUCCGGCGGGCAGUAGCCCGGGCCCUGCUGCCCGUAGUGUUGGUACUUGGCCAGGUUCGGGUAGUGCAGCGUUUCCUGGGCGUGGUGGCGGCUCUGAAGGGCCUGCUGCUGCUGCUGCUGCUGCUGUUGCUGCUGCUGCUUCUGCGGCUCGUAGCUGAGGCGGCUGGACGGGUAAGCGUGGAGGCUCUGGACCCGCUGGCCGGGGCCCAGGCUGGCGCUGGCAGUCAGGGGCCGGUCGUGGGGCUGCGCGGACGGCGCCGUGCAGCCCUUGUAGGAGUGGGCCCCCUGCCCGGCGGAGGAGUAGGUGGAGGCGGCUGGGAAGGACUGGGAGUGCUGGGGGAAGGGGCCGCCCCGGGGAAAGGGCAGAGGCGAGGCCAUGUCGUUCUGUGGCUUCUGCCUUUGGAGCUUGGGGUACGCGGGGGGCUGCGGGGGCUGCGGCAGCUGCGGCUGCUGGACGUGGAGCGGGUGAGUCCGAAAGGGCAGCUGGGCGCCCUGCUCCGCGUACUGCCGGCCGGGGGGCACCGCCGUCUUUUUCAUCAGGUUCUCGUCAUAUUUGCCCACCCCCCCGGGCAGGGGCUGCAGCUGGGGGGGUGGCGGCUGGGGGGUCCCCCAGGCCUGCAGGCUGUCCUCGCCCGAGUAGCGGCCCGGGUACGGGCCGCUGUCCUGGACGGCGUAGCCCGCGAAGGCCGGCCUCCCCUGCAGGGCCUGCUGCGAGGAGAGGCCUUUGCCGGCGCGCGCGGCGCUGGCGGGCGUCGGGGCGCCGCCCUCGUAGCCCGGGUACGGCUGCGGGUUGUAAUAGUCCUUGGCCAGCAGGCGCUGCCGGUCGCAGCUCAGCCCGGCCUGGCUCGGCUGCCUGUAGUUCUCCAGGCGAGACGUCGGCUGUGAGGUCUGCGGGUAGCUCUGUUGUUUGCCAUGGAAACCACACCUUUCUCGAAAAGACUGCAUGACUCGGGCUGGUUAUCUGGGCGAAGAGAAAGGGCAGAGGGAGAACGUUCAGACGGCCGCUUCCUUGCCGUGGAAAGCCCGCCUCCCCAGCAGCCCUGCUGCCCUUCCCCGCAGCUCUCUCCACGGCGGCCUCCGCGCGGCCUGAGCCUCCCUCCCCGCCAGCUGUGCCCUUAGUGACCACCUCUGACCACCUCUGUGUCCGGGGGCGGUCGGCUGUAGAGGAGGGAGGGGCCGCCCGGCUCCCCAGCGCCAGCUCCCCGGGGAGUCUGCCCCCCCUUUCCUGACGGCUCAGCAUCGCUCAUCAGGGCACUUCCUGCUCCCCUGUCCCCUGGGGCUGCUGGAUCCUGUCAUCUAGUCCCAGCACAGCCGUGUUCAAGCGUGACCCAGCGUGCGGGGGACUGGGGAGGGCUCGCCCCUGUCCCGGGAGCCACUCACCGAGGCCUGGAACGUACGCGCGCGCGCGCGCGCACACACACACACACACACACACACACUCGCGUGCACACCUCUUCCAUCACUGCCCUGCCAUCUGGAAUCUGUUCCUUCCAGCAGACGAUUAGGGCCGCUGAGCCUCUGGAGGCAUAAAACGUCCCCUUCUCUGACUCCCAGGAACACACAACGGCAGCACCUGCCUCCUGUUUUUGAUACCGUAGGUGCCUGAGCAGGUUACGAGGCCCAGAGUGAGGCGGCGGGAGCUGAGGGGUGGGAGCUGCAGGCCCUCUGAGCCUGAAGCCGCCCUGGCCCUCUUGGUCGGCCCCUCCUGCCUCCACCGGGUCAGAGUGAGGCUGAGAGCCCAUCUGCUUAUGAUUUUAAGGGCUGGGGCGGGCACGUGGGGUCCAACCUCGCCAAAGCAGGAUCCUGGGUCAGGCA